UGGUAACAACUUUUCCACUGAACCACUUCUUCUUCUACGUGGUUCGUUAUAUAUGAAAAUAUAUAGAACUAAUGAAGAGAAACAUACACAUACAGUGGACUUUGCAGAAGCUAAGAAGAGAAACCCGGUUCCCAUCAUGGCUGAAUACAAGUAGCAGAAAAAAAAUAAUAAGCAUUAAAGUUCCUUGUCUUUUCAACCCCACUAAUGAACCCCUCCUCAAAGAUGCUCUCAAGGUACUUGCUACCUUGUCUUCUACUUCAUUUCCUCCUGCUUUUUAAGUUGGCAAAUUCUUACAAAUUAUUACAUUAAUUUCAAGUAAAGUAUUUUUUAAAUUCUUUCUUGCAAACUUAAAGUUGAGUUGGUUUGAUAUUUCAAAUUUAAGUAUAUGUUUUAUGAACAAGUAAUUUAACGAAUCAUAACCCAUUCAAAUUAAAACCAAAAAUCUAGAAACCAUAAUAUCAUUAAUUAUUAUGAAUAUUUUCGUAUUAAUACAUGUUGCAAUUACUUCAUUAUUAAGCGUACGUACGUAUUAAAAACUCAAGGAGUAUAUAUAUAGGAAUAAUGAUAUCAAUCUCCAGUUGGCAAAUUAAGUUCUUAUAUUUGUUCAUUAACCUGAUGGCGUUUCAAGAACCUAUUAGUAUACGCAAAAUCUAGGUUAUUGCAAGCAAACAAAACCAUAAAUGGAGAAGUAUAAGAUGUUCUUACAAAUAUAUAAAAGAAAAGAAAGAAGAUCAAACCUGGAACAGAUCGUUCUAUCUAGCGGUGGUUUAGUGCCAAUAAAAACAGAUAAUAAAAAGAUAAUGGACUACUUCUGAUGAUGAAAACCUAAAGGAGGAGAGGAUUAAAAACAAGUUCUUCAUUGCUUUUGCAUGGGUGCGAAU
rnacentral:lncRNA from 1 species